GCGAUAAUUUUGAUAAGGCCAAUGAUACUUUCAGCGUGCCCGAGUGUGUUGGUAAGUGAGUUCUUAAAUAAUUGUAGAUUAAGUUGCUGUGUGUUGACAGUCGUCUGGGUUUCGAUUUUGAUAUUGGUGCGCCAGCAGCAUGACACUAUUUUGUUUAUACAUUAUUUUCUUCGCUUUUUUUUUUUACAGAUAUCCAAGCUGCUUACUCAUGCCCCCAAAUGGAAUUCCGUGCCUCUUGCUGUUCUCUCGGUGCAAAUAUCAUGAUAAUAAUGCAAUAAUUCACAAUCUUUGCCCUUAAAUGGGAAGUAUGUUUGCGCUUGUGAACGGGUGAAAAGCGAAGAAAUUCAACUGAAAGUUUCAGCUUUUCAAUUGAAAGGCGUGCGGCAAAGGAAAAAAGGGGCGAGGCAGCAGCAGCAUAGUGUAAUAUAAAUUGAGUGCCAGCUGAGCAGCUUUAUUAAAUCUACACAAUAAGCGCAGCGUUGGGGGCUGGCAAUUCCGAUUCCAAUUUGAGCAAGUAGUCGCUGUACACGCGGAGAAAUAACACGAAAGUUCAACGGAAAAAAGGAAUAUUUUAGCAAAUCUCUUGGCUGCAUUGUGAGAAAAUAUACCUGUUCUUAGGUAUAAAGACACUAAUACCUUUUAUGAUGUCAGGCACAAAAAUUAAAAACUACACAAUUUUUUUUAUUAAGAGUGUUUAUGAACAAAACAAACAAAAAUGUUGUGAACAUUUUGUAUCAACACUUUGGCUCCGUACACCGGUGUUUCUCUCAGUGUAGCAGUGCCAGCUGCAUUUGGUGGCGGGGCCAUUUAUUUGCGCUAAUAUCGUUCACCCCACUUGAAAUGUCAGCGAGCAAACAACAAAACAACAAAGCAGCAACAACAACAGCCAAUUACUCAGCUUGAAGACUCGGAGAGAGGAGUGCAGAAGAGAAGAGAGUGCUCAGCUCAGAGAUCAGAGAUCGGUUUUCAUCAUGAUCCAGAAAUUACGGAACUCACGCCCCACAAGGUGCAAACAAUUAAAUCAAGUGCAGUGGCAGCGGGAAAGUUGGGCUAAAUUCUAAGAUGCAACUGCUGCAAGCUGUUUUCUUUUCUAUGUAAACCUGGUCCAUUUACACUGGUCAACAAAACAGCUGAAAUACUGAAAGAUUAUAGGGGAGAUUUCAGUGCUCAAUGCGGGGAUGAAAACUGUAGAACUUUCCGGCACCUUUCUGCUGGCAUUUUCCAAACCGGUUUCCAGGGUUUUCUAUCAGACAAACAGUUUUCCUUAUUAUCUUUCAGCUUGCAAGUACAGUGGUUACUGGCAAACAACACUGUGCAAGGUGCAGUGUGUUUAUAUGAUAGAUAUAUUUCACAGUGCAAAUGAAAACUACAGCAGGUAAAGGCUCCUAAAAAAUCUUUGAUUUCAGUCCUUAUUUUCUCAUGUGCAUCACUUUUCUGUAACAUUUAGUAUAUGAUAUAAUAUAAUUUAAAUUUCAUUAAAUUGAAUUGUGAUAGCCAAUCUUUGCUGUACUUUUCAACCAGCCACUUGUUGCCUUAGGCAUCUUGGGCCGCUUCAUUGGUAAGUCAGCCACAAAUCAGGUGGAGGAAAAGCACAACUGCAUUGUUUUUCGCAAGUGAAUGGCAAUGAAAUGAAAAGUACACACGCAGACGGUGAAAUAUUAUCGCUCCCAUAUGCCGUGCAUUUAAAUCGGCCGGUGGAAAUUUAAUUGCAGAAGGUUGCAACGCGGCGCCGCAUUCAGUUUCACUGCAUAUGCCGCAGAGGUCGGGUCACCAUAAACCGUACACAUAUAUAUGUAUAUAUACCAUAUAAGUAUGUUUGAGCACAUGUAUAAGCGAUGCGAUGGCGCCUCGUCGUUUGAAUGGUUUUUCCUGCAAAGUAAAAACCGCUGCACUAUCGGCACCACCAACUGCAUAUCAACAAACAUGUUUCCAUUGCGGCGAUCCGAUUCAAUCCACUUGUUGGAUCGAUCCAAAAGAUCUGAAAAGAUCGUGUACCGAGUACGGAGAAUUGAGAAUAGAGAAUCCACAGCCAAACCAACAUUUGGUUUCAAUUUACGUUCAACUCCCUUAUCGCCAACGAAUUAUUGGACACAGACAUUGCAUAAUAUAAACAGAGCUGUUUGAAGUCAAAUUACUUCCAUAAAUCUUUGUAGUCACAAUACUGAAUAGUUUUGGAUUGACGUUUACGUUUCGACUUUCAGUAAACUCUUAACUAGUAUGUGUUGCAAUGUAUAAAAUAAUAAUAAGUUUAGUAAUUAGUAGUUUUUUAAAUAUUUCUUUAAUUUAAGCAACUAGUUAGUUUUCUAGUAACUUUGUUAUAUGAAGCUCAAAUAAACAAAAUCGCUAAUUAA